rnacentral:misc_RNA from 1 species
AAGACGCAACAUUAUUACAGAAACUAUCCAACCAAAACUAAACAAAUGAGAGACACGAGGGACCACAAAUGAAAGAUCUAAUAAUACUGUUCAAACAUAUGGCAAUGUUCAAAUGUAACUUUAGUGCUCAACAAACAAGACGCCAAAAGCUAGACUUAGAAGACAGUAGACAGCAUAAUCUUACUCCCCGGGUGCAGAGACACCCUGCUUCAGCUUCUCCUUCUUCAGCUUCUUCUUCGAAAGAGGUUUCUUCUUCCUCGGAGGGAGGGUCUUCUGUGCGUAUAUGUAGAGAGCGUAGUUUCCUACCAGGAAAAGGAGCACGAUUCCUACAACCACGAGCAGAACGACCAAACCAGGGUUGAACCCUUUUGUAGUCUCUUCCACAAUCACAUUCCCAUCACCGUCGGUGAAAGCGAACUUGUCCGCCAUCGGAAGCGAUCACGUCGAUCAAGCCCCUCCUCGGUUCCUCCGCUUCGUCGAUUUCAG